CUCGUUUUUCAGAUGGAAAGAUGGAGGUGCCAUUAAGUAACUUCCCUGAGGUCACUCAGCCCAAUGGUGUAAGAAGCAGGAUGUUUAGGAGUUGCUGGCUCUGGACUUGGCGCACCCGGAAUCCUGCUGGCAAGAGCGCACAGCGGGACCCCAGCCUCCCAGCGCAGGAACAAGAGCGCGCUGGCACGGAGGCCCGCCAGCCAGGGCAGAGGUGGCACCGGGGCUGAGCUCUGGACACACGCACACACGCACGCACACACAUACACACACACACACACACGCACACACACACACACACACACGCACGCACGCACUCCCGCGGAACCGCUCUUGUACGCCCACAAACGAAGGAGGGGGCGCGGGUCCCGCCUCCCGGUUCCACCGGAUCUGGAGCCGCAGAGCGCACGCCAACACACCUGAAGACGCUUCCAGGAAGGGGCACUCGCGUUUCGGUGCUCGGGAGAGGACGGGCUGCACCGACCCACGCUCUGAUGAUGGCUUCCGAGGUGACAGGGAACCAAACCAAACCAAACCAAACCAGGGAGGUACGGAAAAAUGGAAAUCGAUGAAGAGGGCUGGAGAGGUGGCUCAGCGGUUAGAGCGCCGGCUGCUCUUCCAAAGGACUGGAUUUGAUCCCCAGGACCCACAGCUCGCAACCAUCUGUAACUCUAGUCCCCGGGAUCUAAUGCCCUCUUCUGACCACCAACGUCACCUGUCACACACGUGGUACACAGACAGGCACGCAAGCAAAACAACACAUACACAUAAAGUAGUAAUUAUUAGGAACCAAAAAAAUUGUAAAGAGAAAAAGAAGGGGUCGGAAUUAAGGCAUAGCGUGAAGGAAUGGGCGAGGGGGGUAAUACUGUGGAAACAGCGGUUGACAGGGUGUGUGCGUCCACCGAGGCUUUAUCCCAGGCUCCAGAAAUGAAGUUAAAAACAAGCAAAAAGAUGGAGAGAUGAAAAUAGAAAAGUAUGAAGAAACACACAGACGACUACAGGGACACACGCCUACGUCCGUGUGUGUAGUGUGUCUAUGCAUGUGUACUCACACAUAAAAUUAGUCUGUACACAAGAAUAUGUAAACACGCAUGCGUUUGUGCGCGUAGUGUGCUCGUAUGCGUACCCCGUGCACACACAUACCCACACCUGAAUGUCGACGAAUAGUUUUUUAAUUCCUGAAGUAGUUCUUUUUUUAGGAUACUUUUCACUAACAUUCUUUUGUUUGAAAACUUCUAGUAUGGAAAGCAACGGGUUUUCCUAUGUCACUUUCUUUCUUUAAAAAUAAAAGAGGCCCCCUGGGCUGGAGAGAUGGCUCAGAGGUUAACAGCACUGACUGUUCUUCCAAAGGUCCUGAGUUCAAUUCCCAGCCACCACGGGGUGGCUCACAACCAUCUAUAAUGAGAUCUGGUGCCCUCUCCUGGCCUGCUGGCAUACAUGCAUGCAGAAUACUGUAUGAAUAAUAAAUAAAAGAAUAA